UGUUAAAAUUUUUAUCAUUUCUAUUUGUUAAAAACUGAUAUGGCUAAUAAAAUAAUCAGGCAAUUAUACUUGAUCCAACAUGUGUAUCUUAUGUUGACCUGUAAAGAUAAAUUUUUAACAAUAAAAAUAAAUAAAUUUUUUAAAA
rnacentral:pre_miRNA from 1 species